AGAGUUUGAUCAUGGCUCAGAACGAACGCUGGCGGCAGGCUUAACACAUGCAAGUCGAGCGGACCCUUCGGGGUCAGCGGCAGACGGGUGAGUAACGCGUGGGAAUCUACCCAGCUCUACGGAAUAACUCAGGGAAACCUGAGCUAAUACCGUAUACGUCCUCCGGGAGAAAGAUUUAUCGGAGUUGGAUGAGCCCGCGUCGGAUUAGCUAGUUGGUGGGGUAAUGGCCUACCAAGGCUACGAUCCGUAGCUGGUCUGAGAGGAUGAUCAGCCACACUGGGACUGAGACACGGCCCAGACUCCUACGGGAGGCAGCAGUGGGGAAUAUUGGACAAUGGGCGAAAGCCUGAUCCAGCCAUGCCGCGUGAGUGAUGAAGGCCCUAGGGUUGUAAAGCUCUUUCAGCGGGGAAGAUAAUGACGGUACCCGCAGAAGAAGCCCCGGCUAGCUUCGUGCCAGCAGCCGCGGUAAUACGAAGGGGGCUAGCGUUGUUCGGAAUUACUGGGCGUAAAGGGCGCGUAGGCGGAUUUGCAAGUUAGGGGUGAAAUCCCGGGGCUCAACCCCGGAACUGCCUCUAAAACUGCUGAUCUAGAGUUCGGGAGAGGUGAGUGGAAUUCCGAGUGUAGAGGUGAAAUUCGUAGAUAUUCGGAGGAACACCAGUGGCG
rnacentral:rRNA from 1 species